UACAGAGGUCUCAAGCGUUGUUCGGAAUCACUGGGCGUAAAGGGUGCGCAGGCGGCGCGGAAAGUCAGAUGUGAAAUCCGGAGGCUCAACCUCCGAAUAGCAUCCGAUACUUCCGCGCUUGAGAGUUGUAGGGGAGCUUGGAAUUCUCGGUGUAGCAGUGAAAUGCGUGGAUAUCGAGAAGAACACUCGCGGCGAAGGCGAAGCUCUGGGCAACAUCUGACGCUCAUGCACGAGGGCUAGGGGAGCAAACGGG
rnacentral:rRNA from 1 species